AACGCAUAUUGCGCUCGAGCCCUCGGGCAAGAGCAUGUCUGCCUCAGCGUCGGUUUAUACCCUCACUCCUCCCAAUCUGUUGGGUGGGUUUGCUUAACUUGCAAACCAUUGGGGUGGAUCUGGCUUUCCCAAACAGCCGUUGUGCAAGUUGGGUUGGCUGAAGUGCAGAGGCUUAAGCAAGGACCUGAUAUGGGCUUCAACUGGAUAGGUAGCACCGGUAUCUGCCGACUACACGAAGUUGUUGCUUGUGGAUCUUGUUAGACGCCAAGCAGGAACAUGCCCAUGGCAUGUCUCACAUUUCGACCUGAGCUCAGACAAGGCUACCCGCUGAACUUAA
rnacentral:misc_RNA from 1 species